AUGUACUUAGCUAGCGCUACAAGACCAGAUAUCUCUUUUGCUGUGAGCAAACUGAGUAGGUUCAUGUCCAACCCGGGUGAUGAUCAUUGGCAUGCACUAGAAAGGGUCUUGCGCUAUCUGAGAGGUACUAUGAGUUACGGAAUUACUUAUUCAGGGCAUCCUGCUGUGCUAGAAGGAUAUAGUGAUUCAAAUUGGAUCUCCGAUGUUGAUGUACUUUACGCAACAAGUGGGUAUGUAUUUACUCAUGGUGGUGGCGCAGUGUCAUGGAGGUCUUGCAAGCAAACCAUAUUGACGAGGUCAACUAUGGAAGCAGAAUUAACUGCUUUGGACACAGCUACUGUUGAGGCAGAAUGGCUGCGUGAGCUCUUGAUGGACUUGCCGGUUGUUGAAAAACCUGUACCGGCUAUUCUUAUGAAUUGUGAUAACCAAACGGUUAUCGCUAAAGUGAACAAUUCUAAAGAUAAUGCAAAGUCAUCAAGACAUGUGAAAAGACGUUUGAAGUCUGUCAGGAAGUUGAGAAACUCCGGAGUAAUAACUGUUACGUAUAUACAAACAGACAAAAACCUGGCAGAUCCCUUUACAAAGGGACUAUCACGAAAUGUGAUAGAUAUUGCAUCGAGGGAGAUGGGUAUGAGACCCAUAGAUGUUACACCAUAG
rnacentral:rRNA from 1 species